GCGUGCGGGAAGAAGGCCUUCGGGUUGUAAACCGCUUUUGUCGGGGAAGAAAUCUUCCGGGCUAAUACCUCGGGAGGAUGACGGUACCCGGAGAAUAAGCACCGGCUAACUACGUGCCAGCAGCCGCGGUAAUACGUAGGGUGCAAGCGUUAAUCGGAAUUACUGGGCGUAAAGCGUGCGCAGGCGGCUCUGCAAGACAGAUGUGAAAUCCCCGGGCUCAACCUGGGAACUGCAUUUGUGACUGCAAAGCUCGAGUGCGGCAGAGGGGGAUGGAAUUCCGCGUGUAGCAGUGAAAUGCGU
rnacentral:rRNA from 1 species